GCUAGGUGUGGUGGCCCACACCCGUAAUCCCAGAGGCUUGGGAGGCUGAGGCAGGAGGAUCCAUAGUUCAGAGACAGCCUCAGCAAUGAGGCCCUAAGCAACUCAGUGAGACCCUGUCUCUA
rnacentral:sRNA from 1 species